AUAAUGCAAAGCAUUUACUUUGAAACCUGUGAGGACAAAAGAAAGUUUCCAUCAGCAAACUUGAUGCUCUGCAGAAGUGAUAUCCCAGCAUCUAUGAAGAAUCUGCACCACUUUUAAUAGUGUGGACUUUUAUUAAUUCAUCUUUUUUUUAAUCAAGCUUAACACAUUUAUCAAAGGAAAAGAAGGAUAUAACUUCUGGUCUUUGUCACUUCUUUUAAGGAUGUAUCUCUAUGACUCAGUAGACUUAUGAAUGGAAUUAAACACCCUGAUAAGGAUCAGUGUUAACUAAAAGGUAUAAUAAGACCAAAACAAAUUUUCUAUGCUGCCCCUCAGAAAACUCUGUAGUACCUGUUUGCAUAUUGAGCACUAAAGACAAGUUUUUCAUACACUGCUCCCUUGAACAUUACAGAACCACCCAACAGAAUUCAUACUCACGUAGUAAUGAAAAUUUGACAUAACUGAGAAACUAGGAUCCAAACAUAAUGAUAUUCCUGCUUUCCAGGAACAUGAAUCCUAAAGGCUAGCAAGACCUGGGGUCUUAAUGGAUCUGUCUAUGAGAAGAAGAGCAGGUGAAAAACCUAGAAGACAGGACACAUUCCAGAAUAUGAGCACAGUAUGCCUUCCAGGUGCUGUACAGAAGGAUGCAUGUCGACACAGGCACAGCUGACACCUACUACACAAAGUUCCAAAUCAAAUAACCUCGCCUGGGAGAACUCUAACAAAGGGGUGAACUGCAGCCUCAACUCUCGAAAAACAUCAAGGCUAUAAACACAGAUGGAACAAUGGAAGAUGAGUAUUUACCUCAAAGGCACAAAAAUCCACUUAACCAUUUUUUCAUAUAUACUUGGUGCGGUUGAGGGCUCUCUCGGCAAGGUGACCACUUUCAUCUGUUAUCUUCUCCCAGUCGGUUUGUCCAACAACAAAACCGAUGGCCCUUUUCCUGUCAGCAUCUUUUUUUU